rnacentral:lncRNA from 1 species
GUAUCUCCACCCUUCAUAUAAAUUAAAAAGUAUACGCUUUCACUUUUGCAUUAGAAUUGCUUUCUAUAAAGUAAAAAAGUUGCUUUUGAGAAUACUGGAGAUGAGUGACACUUGACACAGAGGCGGAACUAUAAUUGAAUCCCGUAUUCUUGCUGCUUUUUUUUCAGUUUUAUACAAAUUAUACCCCUAAAUAAAGUACGAGGAUACCCCUAAAUAAAAUAUGAGGAUAUCCUUAACUAAAAAAUAGGAUACUUGAUAUUGCUAAAACUUGUAGAAUAAUUAAGUCUGAAUGAUAAAAUAAGCCCAAAUUUUAAUAAUAAAAGAAUUGAAAGAAAACCUUAAAUAUAAUUGAUAAAGUUAGCCAAAAACCCAAACAAUAAUCUAUUAAGUAUUUGUUUUACUUUAUUUAUUAUCGUUUUUUUAUUAUUGUAUGAUUGCACGGUAAAAAAAAAUUGAGAUACUCCUAAAUUAAUGGGCUAGCUCCGCCACUGACUUGACAAGUCUUUGUUUCAGCAACAAACUCUAAGGUCAUGAGUAUAUGUAUUGUUUAGAUUCAAAAAUGAUGGUCGUGUAUGGUGACAAUAUAUAACUUGAUAUGACAAACAUAAUCAGGUUUUAUGUUGUCAUUUCUAACGUGUUUUUGAACUUAACGACUUGUGUUUUGAGUAACUUGUUUAACUAAGUGGUUCGUAUCUGGAUUGUAUUGAAAUAAAACCGGUUGGUUCGUGUCUCUGUGAUAUAUCCAUUUAAUAUUAGAAAUUUAGAGUUAAAAGAAAUGAAUAAGUUCAACCUGUCAAGUUGUUUACAACAUGGUUACAACUCGUUAACUCAUUUGUAAUCUUGAAUAUGCUUAACCAAUUUAGAAAAUAAGUGACCGAUUUUAAGUGUAUAUGGGUUAAAUUUAGUUCUGGUACAUGAAUAAAUACGACCGUAGCAGUGGCGGACCCAUGAAUUAUUUGCUGAGGUGCGGAUGAGGGGUUUCUAACCACAUUUUGCAAGGGUUGCCGUGGGGUUUUUUUGCCUAAAAUAUACACUAUUUUUUUCAAAGGGUACGUUCGUACACCCACAACAUCAAGUAGGCCCGCCCCUAGAUCGUAGUCGAGUUGUUUAUUUUUAGCCCGUCUAACCUACACGAGUGAUACAUGAUCAUUCCUCGAAGUAUCAUUCUAUUCUAAAAGCUAAUAAAUGUAGUGGUUGGUGAAUAUACGAGUAUAGUCAAUAUCGUCAUCUUGACUGAGUUUGGCAUAUGUGUCGCCUUGUGAUUAAAAAAAAAGCUCAAGAGUUUCGCAUGCUUUUGUGAC